CCGAGUGGCUAGGGCUGCUGCCCUCCAUCUUGGAGGGCAGCAGUUCGACCCCCACAAAAGUAUUGUGGAGGUAUUUCCUUCUUCAAUUAAUUUGAGUGAAGGCAGUCUUCUCCCUUACCCAUGAGUGAGGAGUAUACAUCCCUCGAAUAUUUGUGAGGGUUAAAAUCUGGGCAGAGCUCCAUUAGCAUUGAUGUCAGUUGGUCCCAG
rnacentral:lncRNA from 1 species